UAGACAGAACAUGAGGCUGUAUCCUGAUGACCAGCUGACAGGCGAUUAUUGAAACUGGCUGUAAUGUGGGGUUGUAAAAGAACACGCUUAAGAGCUAAUGGAGUUGUAACUCAUAUGUGACCUUCAUUUGAAAGUACUGUAAUUGGGAAACCCAUAUUUUAUUGUGAUAUAAUAACCGCAGACCGAGACUCAUGAAACCACAGCAGACUCAGCUUUUUAUGCUUCAGACGGUUUUCACCGCUGUGAGUGUAGCAUCUGAGGUUAUUUUAGCUUGAGUCAAUCAAUGGAUUGUCACGGCCCUGGCACUUCUCAGCCACAACCUGUGGCCUCACCCAUGGGACCACCUGCACCACAGGCUCCAUCCCCCAUGCCACCUCCUCAGACUCCACCUCCUACAGGCCAAGGGCAGCAGCAGAUCCAGUCCCCAAUGGGUCCUCCGCAGCAAGUGAUGUCCCCAGGACCUCCACCCAGUCCAGGCCUGCAAGUGGCAUCACCGUCACAUCAGCAUUUGAACUCACAUGGCCACAUGGGCUAUCAGCAACAAUCUUUAUGUCCUAGUGGAAUGCUUCAUAAUCCACAAGGGUCUUCAGUUCCUCAAUUGCCAGCGCAGAUGGUUUCUCAGUCAUCACCACAUGACACAUACCAGGCUCUACAAAGGGCAAUUGGAGCCAUGGAGGAGAAGGGGAUGCAGAACGAUCCCCGCUAUUCACAACUGUUGGCCCUUCGUGCUCGGCAGGUCCCAUAUGGUAACCCAGCCCAAGCAGACCCAUCACGAAUAAUACAGGGACCGGGUAGUUUUCUUGAUAGCACACCAAAGCAUAUCUUCAGUUCUCUUCAGCUACAGCAAUUACGAGUGCAGAUCAUGGCAUACCGACUGCUGGCUCGUAACCAGCCACUAACAAGUCAGAUGGCUCUGGCUGUGCAAGGGAAACGAAUAGAUUCUGUUCCCAGUCAUAGAAUGCCUCAACAGGGUGAUCCAGCAGGUGUUGUGAGUGGCGUAAUGCAGCAGCCAAUGAGAACUCCUGUUCCAGUAGGAGGUCAGCCACCAAGCCAGUCUCCUAUUCCAGGCCAGCCUGCUCCAUCAGCAGGACAACAGACUGUGGGUACAGCUCCAACCACAAGCACCUCCCCUAACAAUGGUGCAGGUACGGGGACUUCUGUAGUACAGCCGACAUCUACAACACAAGGUCCUCGUCCUCUCCCUCCCUCAGGACCAGCUGCAGGGGCUCAGUCUGCAGCACAGCCCCCACCUCAGCAGAAACAGAAUCGAGUGACCCCCAUAGCCAAACCUGCAGGACUUGACCCCUUGAUCAUACUUCAGGAGAGGGAAAACAGGCUGGCUGCAAGAAUCGCCCAUCGAAUUGAAGAACUGAACAAUUUGCCAACUGUGAUGGCAGAAGAUCUGAAAAUUAAAGCACAGAUUGAACUACGUGCAUUGAGAUUGUUAAAUUUUCAGAGACAACUGAGAACAGAGGUUGUGGCAUGCACGAGGAAGGACACAAUGUUAGAAACUUCCUGUCAUAUUAAGACUUACAAACGAACAAAACGCCAGGGUCUCCGUGAAGCUCGGGCUACUGAGAAGCUGGAGAAGCAGCAGAAACUUGAAGCAGAACGGAAGCGUCGGCAGAAACAUCAAGAAUACUUAAAUGCUGUUCUGCAACAUGGAAAGGACCUGAAAGAGUACCACAGGAACAAUAUUGCCAAGAUCUUGAGACUAAAUCGCGCAGUGUUAAACCAUCAUGCUAAUGCAGAGCGUGAACAGAAGAAAGAACAGGAAAGAAUUGAGAAGGAGAGGAUGAGGCGACUCAUGGCCGAGGAUGAAGAGGGUUACAGAAAAUUGAUUGAUCAGAAGAAGGACAAACGGCUUGCAUUCCUGUUAUCACAAACAGAUGAAUAUAUAGGCAAUCUCACAGAAAUGGUAAAGCAGCACAAAGUUGAACAGCGCCGUAAACAGCGUGAGCAAAAGGAGAGAAAGAAAAAGAAGAAGAAGAGAUCUGAAGAUGGUGAGAUAAUUGAUGGGUUGAAUGAUGAAAGCUCACAAAUGUCUGAUGUGCGAGUUACUGUGAUGGAAACGGCCACUGGGAAGAUUUUAUGUGGAGAUGAGGCUCCCCUGGCAAGCCAGUUUCAAGCAUGGCUUGAGAUGCAUCCUGGAUGGGAGGCUGCACCUCGUGAAGAUGAUGAAGAUGAUGAUGACGACGAUGAAUCAGAUGUUGAUACUGAUGAUUAUGAUGAUGAUGACAGAGAUUUGAAGAAGAACAGUGAUGAUAAUUCACUGAAUCCCAAGAUGUCUGAAGAAGAGAAGGCUAAAGUUGUGAUACAAAAGGCCAAAGUGGAAGAUGAUGAGUACAAGAACUACACAGAGGAACAGACGUAUUACAGUAUUGCUCAUACGAUCACAGAGAAGGUGACAGAGCAGGCAUCAAUAAUGGUGAAUGGCAAGCUGAAAGAAUACCAGAUAAGGGGUCUGGAGUGGUUGGUAUCCCUGUAUAACAAUAACCUGAAUGGAAUCCUGGCAGAUGAGAUGGGUUUGGGGAAGACUAUUCAGACAAUUGCACUUAUCACGUACCUAAUGGAAAAGAAGAGAGUCAAUGGACCUUAUCUUAUUAUUGUCCCCUUGUCCACUCUGUCCAACUGGGUGCUAGAGUUUGAGAAGUGGGCUCCAUCUGUCAUUAUUGUGGCAUACAAGGGCUCUCCAACCAUGCGUCGCAAUAUACAAAGUCAGAUGCGUGCCACCAAGUUCAAUGUGCUGCUCACAACAUAUGAGUAUAUCAUUAAGGACAAGGCCGUACUUGCAAAGUUGCGGUGGAAGUUCAUGAUUAUUGAUGAGGGACACCGCAUGAAGAACCACCACUGCAAAUUGACCCAAGUUUUGAACACGCAUUACUUGGCUCCACACAGACUUCUACUUACUGGUACCCCACUGCAGAACAAACUCCCUGAGCUCUGGGCGCUUCUGAAUUUCCUGCUACCAUCAAUCUUCAAGUCAGUCAGUACCUUUGAACAGUGGUUCAAUGCUCCCUUUGCUACAACAGGAGAGAAGGUUGAACUGAAUGAAGAAGAAACCAUACUGAUCAUCCGCCGUUUGCAUAAAGUUUUACGGCCAUUCCUCCUGCGUCGUUUGAAAAAGGAGGUUGAGUCGCAGUUACCAGACAAAGUGGAAUACAUCAUCAAGUGUGACAUGUCAGGGCUGCAGAGAGUUCUGUACAGCCACAUGCAAAGUAAGGGAGUCCUCCUAACUGAUGGAUCUGAGAAAGGAAAGCAAGGGAAGGGUGGAGCCAAAGCGCUUAUGAACACCAUAAUGCAGCUUCGUAAGCUCUGCAAUCAUCCAUUCAUGUUUCAGCACAUUGAGAAGGCAUACUGUGACCAUGUUGGCAUCCAUGGAAGUGUUGUUAUAGGGCCAGAUCUGUACCGAGCAUCAGGAAAAUUUGAAUUGCUUGACCGCAUUUUGCCAAAGCUGAAGGCAACUGGUCAUCGUGUGCUUCUUUUUUGUCAAAUGACACAACUUAUGACCAUUAUGGAAGAUUAUCUUGGAUGGCGUGGAUUUCACUAUUUGCGUCUGGAUGGCACCACUAAAGCUGAAGACAGGGGUGAACUUCUGCGCAAGUUCAACAGCCCUGAGUCUGACUACUUUGUGUUUUUGUUGAGCACUCGAGCUGGAGGACUAGGUCUGAAUUUGCAGUCUGCUGAUACUGUUAUCAUUUUUGACUCAGAUUGGAAUCCACAUCAGGAUUUGCAAGCCCAGGACCGAGCUCACCGUAUUGGUCAGAAGAAUGAAGUGCGGGUCCUGCGACUCAUGACAGUGAACUCUGUGGAGGAACGUAUACUAGCAGCAGCGCGUUACAAACUCAAUAUGGAUGAGAAAGUGAUUCAGGCUGGCAUGUUUGAUCAGAAAUCAACCGGCUCAGAGCGUCAGAAAUUCCUCAAAACAAUUCUCCACCAGGAUGAGGCAGAUGAUGAGGAGGAGAAUGAAGUGCCUGAUGAUGAGACUGUGAACCAGAUGAUUGCUCGGUGUGAGACCGAAUUCGAGAUGUUCCAGAAGAUGGACAUUGAACGUCGGCGUGAGGAUUCGAAACUUGGCUCAGACCGCAGACCUCGUCUGAUGGAGGAACAGGAGUUACCAACAUGGCUUGUGAAAGAGGAUGAAGAGGUGGAGAAAUGGACAGGAGAGGAGGAAGAAGAACGCUACUAUGGGCGAGGCUCUCGCCAACGUAAGGAAGUGGAUUAUACUGACAGUCUGACAGAAAAGGAAUGGCUGAAGGCCAUUGAUGAUGGAAUUGAGGAGGAGGAGGAAGAAGAAAGAAAACCUGCCAGAAAGAAGUUCCGGAAACGGAGACGGAAAGAUGAGGAUGAUGCUGGAAGUGGGAACAGUUCAGCUGUGACAGUUCCACCUGUUGUAAUGGUGGUAGAGCAGCCCCAUGUCAAGAAGCGACGGGGGCGCCCUCCCCUUGAGAAAGGAACUUUAGUAAAUGGCAAAAUAAAAAAACAAAUGCGGAAGCUCAUGAACAUUGUGAUUAAGUAUGCUGAUUGUGAUGGUCGAACAUUGAGUGGACCGUUUAUGAAGCUACCUUCCAAGCAGGAGCUCCCAGACUAUUACAACAUAAUAAAGAGGCCAAUUGAUAUAAAAAAAAUACAACAGAGGCUGGAAGAAAAUAAGUACACUUCAUUUGAUGACUUGGAGCGUGACUUCAUUCAGAUGUGUCGCAAUGCACAAAAGUACAAUGAAGAAGCAUCUCUGAUUCAUGAAGACUCAAUAGUAUUGGAAACAGUGUUUGCUAAUGCCCGAAUUCGACUGGAACAGGAUUCAGAACCAACCGAAGAAGAUGAGGAGGAAGAAGGCGAAGAGGAAGGGGUAGAAAAUCCUGAUGAUUGUGCAGUCAGUGCAGAGGCAGAAAACUGUCGUCGGUCAAUAACGAUACGUCAGCCUGCUGUAGAUGAAGAUAUGCAUUCUGACAAUGACUCGAUGAAGGUCAGAAUUAAGCUCAAAGGCCGCAGAAGUGAAUCCAGUAGUUUAUCUGGUCGCAAAAAUGUGAAGAAGUUGUCAAAGAAGCUUUAUAGUGAGGAUGAUGAAGAAGAUGAUGAAGAAGAGGCAGAACUGGAAACUGCUGCUGAGUCCGUAGCAGAAAGAAUUACAACUACAGAUUCCAGUGGCCUCCACUGGUGUUGGAAUGGCACAAAGAAACAAGAUAACAGUUGAGAGAAAUAAAUUUCAUGCUAACAAUUAAAAUACUACUAUAAAUAAUAAGUUCAGCCAAUAAAACCUAAGAUUAUGAGUGAUCAGUGAAUGAGUGAGAAUCUGGCCCAUACAGUCUGCUGAUUGUGAUGGCCCAAGAAUCCAACUCUGCAAGAUAUAAAUGAAGCAGUAGAUGUCAACAUUUGUUUUGGAUUCAGUAAAUUUAUCUUUCAUUCAAUGGGCUGUGCCUGCUACAGAGUGAUGCAUCAAGAGGUCAGCAUUCUGUGGCAUUGUAAUGUUAUAUUGCUUUAUAGUUAAACUUUCUCACUUCAUGAAGGGUUCUAUUGUAUUUAAAAUGUUGGUGUGGCAAACAUAUGAAGUGGGUUAAAAACAAUUUUAAUUUAUUUGGGUUACUGUCUAGAGGGGGAAUAUUAGUCCACUGGUACUGGGACUUAGUUACUGUUUUGCACUUAUCCGCAGUGUUGAUGAUGAAAUUGUAUAUUGAUUUUCUUUUUUUCAGAAAUUAUUUGUAAAACUAAUAAUUGCAGUGACUCACUUAGGAACAUUUGUCUUACUACAACAUUGUAUUUCUGUCUUGUAUUACUGGUGGUUAUUUUGGAGUAGUCCUGGUGUUUUGCACUUGAUGAAAUAUUCUACUAUCUGUAGAAUAGAGUUUACUGUGCUACAAUGCCCAUGCUAAUAUUUGUGCUUGUUCCUUUCUGGUUUCUCUCUUAUGUUAACCUUUUAAUUCUUACAUGAUGAAGACCAUUAUAACAUGCCAUCCUAAUUUUUAUGUUCAUUUCAAAGCUGUAAUUAAAUUUAUAAGCAUAUUAUUUCUAUGUACAGUUGUAAAUAGUGCAAGAAAAAAUACAUGUUCUUAUGUGAGAAAACACUGAGCCCCAUGAAGCGGCAGUGAAUUCCCUUCCCCUUGUUAAAGGCAUGAACUUAAUAUUUUGUGGAUUGAAAUUUGUAGAUUUUUCGUAUCUAACAAGUGCUUCUGCUCAUUUCAUGAUGACUACCAGUAUGCUAAUCGCUGGUAUAAUUUUCUCCAUAAUAUUCCAACAUUCGUCUUGUAGAGUUUUGUCGUGUAAAUGUUUAGAUCCCAAAUGUGUUUGUCAUAAGGGAGGAGUUGCAGCAUAGAAGGAGAAAUAAAAUCUUUGUGGAAUGUUGGGACCACUUUCAAAGUGUCAAAUUUGUAUACUGGUUGCAAUUUUUGGUGCAAGAGUACACAGUAACGUUCGAUUGCAAACUGACAUCGAGAAGAAUAAGCAGUAUGUUCUUUGAGGUUUUCACAGUACUCCAUUCUUCAGCUUUCUGUAUGCCUGGUUUCUCACUCUUCUGAUUCACCUCAUUUUUCAGUGUUGAGUUUGAUGAGGCUUUUCAUCUCAAGGUUACAGUGUCAAACACAUCUCCUUGUAUGCCUGGUAGUCAUAACUGCAGGGGUUGGAUGUUGGGUAUUUGAUUCAAGAUGUGUACUCAGAUCAGCAUGGAUGGGCUCUAUGUGUUAAGGUGUAUGUAAUGGGAUGCUUGUUCAGAGGUAAUAACAUGAAGGAAUGAAUUACAAGUUAAUUGAUUGAACUUCCUUACAGAUUAAUUAAAUUUUGGUGGAUUUAUUAAUUCAGAGACAUGGAUAAUUGUGCCUAUUAUUUUGCUGCUCUUUCUCAAAAAAGAAAUAUACAUAUAUUAUCACUUGGGUGUACCCUCACAAAUGAAGUAUGGUCUGAGUAAUUGAUUCAGGAAGUUCAGUUGGUCUUAUCAUGAUAAAUUUAAUUACUUUCUGGAUCUUAAUUUAGCAUGGUUUAAAAGCACAUAUAACAUGAUACCCAGGUUCUGAAAACUAUCAGGAAAGAAAAAUUUAUAUUAGUUUAUAUUUACAGUAGUAAAAUUUCUGAGUUUGAAUUAAAUUUUGUUGGGUCAUGGAGCUAUCAUCUGAAAACCUGGGAUGUUGCUGAAUUCAAGUGACACUAGCUUUAAUUGAUUCAUUUUGAGACACUUUGAGUAGUUCAAACUGUACAGUGUCGAAUGGUAAGAAUAUCAUCCUGCCAUUAAACACUACAUAAUUUUCACUGCCAAAUUGAAAGGAUUUGGAAGGAAGCAGCCUUAACCUAAUUGAAAUAGUACCCCAACAUUUAUGGGAGAGAGUGAGGAAAAACCUCGAUGAGGAUAGCUGGUGACCUGGCUGAGAUUGGAACUGAGCAUUAACAUUAUGCGAGGCUACUUGUUAUUGACACGAGAAACAAAAUUUUCAACAGCUUUUGAUAAAAUCUGAAUUCAGCUUGUGGAUUGGUCAGUUGAGUUAUGUCUUUUGACAUAGUUCCAUGACUGAUAAUUCAAGGAGGGUUCUUGCCACUUGUCUCGUUGGCUGGAACCAAAACACUUCUCAUUCAGAAAUCACAUCAGGACACUGUGCUAAUGUGUGGUAACCAAGGCAUAUGCAUACUUCACCACCACCCUAAUUUUUCAGAGCUGCUUGUACCAAAUUUUGGUUUUUAACCACACAUAACAUCAGCAAUGACUUGUAGGACAGCUGUCAUGUGACUGUUGCUAGUAUUCAAGCGUUCAGCUGUAUGAGCUAGUUCAUAGUUCCAGUCUCUUUUAGAUGAUAAUGUCAUGGUAUUUCUUUAUACCAGUGUUGCUGCCUGCUAAUUUUGAGGGUUCAGUUUGUCAUUUGUAUGAGGGAGCUGAGUCUGGUUUUGAACCUGAGAUUGAAAACUGCCCUAACAGCAGUCUGAAUGUGACUACAUUCUUCUGGGUUGUAACACCUUGUAGGCUUCUAAGAGAUUUAUGGCAUUUCAGAGAAGCCUAGUGCUUGCAUCUUCAGGUACCUCGUAUAAACCCACCCUGUCAUUUUUCUGAUGAUGGAGAAAAGUCUUCAGAAUUGUCUUCUCUCGUCUAAAGUUUUUCAGCAUAGGUUCUGCUGAUGAGCACUCUUUCUCAGUGCAAUUGCUACAUCAUUAGGGUGUGUUGAAACAGAUCAUGAAAAUGCAGGAAAUGAGAUAUUUAUUCAACAUGCUCUAUGUACUGAGGGUCAUUGUGGCCUCUGCCUGAUGCCACUAUUAUUAAGAUUUUUAACUACAGGAAGGAAAUGUAUACUACAAAGUAGACUGAAUUCCAGGAUAUAGUUUUAGACAUCAGUCAGAUGCCAUCAUCAUCAAAUUCUUGAAACAUACAUAUUUCUCUAAGUCUUAUCUAGCACCGAUACUCACAGUUAUGUAAAACACAAUUUUAAGUGUAAUUUCAUCCAAUCUGUCUUACUGCUUAUUUUGCCUGGUUAUGUUUCUUGCAUAAACAAUUUGCUUGUAUGACAUUUGAUAGUAGGUCUGAGUUUAAGAAACUGAGAAAUGCUGGACAUAUUGUAAUAUGUAUAGGAGAAUAAUUAUGUAUAAUAUUUCACAGUUAUUUCCUGAUAUAGGCUGGUGAUAACUGUAUAAAAAGACAUUAAGAUAAAGUGGAAGGUGAAGUGUGCUACAGAAAGUCAGUGAACUUGUCUUUUUUAAGGAAUGGAAUAUUAUUAAAAGAAUGUAACAUUAUGUUAGGAAGUGAUCAUUGUGCCUGCAAAAUUAUGGGAGAGGUCAUUUUGGUAAUAUUUUUCUACAUUUGGUCCUAUUGUCAAUGAAAUCCUGGUUCUUAUUAUUAUAGAUGCUCCUAGAGCUUUUCAGGUUAUAGUAAUGAGUGUGUAUGUAGCAGAGGGGCAGGCAUGAUUAUCAGAGAACCUUUGCAAUGGUAGGUUCUGCCUGUACCUUAAUGUUAAUUAUGUUAUUUUGGACCCAAUGCCAUGUUACUUUACAUACUGGUUGCUUAAAAGGCAGUGUUUGGUGCACAGUAAUUCAGACAUUAUAUAUAUUGAACAAAAGUGGAAACUCAUUUCAACAUUGACACAUUCAUGUGGCAUUCAAUGUAUUGUGUUGUAUUUCAAAUAGUGUUGACAUAUUUUUAUGUUGAAAUUUGUCAGGUGGGUGGGAAGGGGACUCAGAAUAGGUAAAUGUGAUAUUAAACUGAGGUAGUUGCUGGCAUUGAAAUGUUACCAUGGCUGCCAGAGUACUACUGUGGAAAGCCUGAAACCCUAACUUUUUUAUUUAACUUGAAUUCUUUUUUAAAUUUGAUUUUGAGCUGUAAAUUUAUAUGAACUGAGCCAGAGAAUGUGUUUUUCAGUCAUGGAUGGGAAUUUAGAAACAAAGCCUAUGUUUCCAGUUCCACAGUAUCAUUUGAAACAUUUUUCUAAAUUAAGUGAAACUUGCAAUGUUGGUUUAAGUGAAAUGAUAAUUUCGAGUGGCCGGUAAGCUUCUAAAAUAAUUGUUUUAUAUAAUUAUCUCUUCUUCUUUGUCAUAUUUACACAAUUUUUAAAUUUGAAUUAUCAUUCAUAGAUAUUUUUGGAGUGCUGCUACAAAAUGUAUUUUUCUAAAAUUGCUGCCUUAAGCUUUUUUACGGUACCACAGGGUCUUAAAUUAUUAUUAUCCAUACUUUUCUCAUUCAUCUUUAGAAUUCAGUACAUUGUCUGCCAGUUGUGUUAUAAGUGAAAUUUCUGUGAAUAGAUCGUGUUCACAUAGCACCUUUUACUUAAAUGAUUCUUUUACCCAUCCUCCCAUCAAUUGGUGUUACUUGGAAUCAGGUUUUCCACAAGAGAUGCUUAGUGAAUAGCUCCACAUUUACUGCAGAAGGAAAGUGGUAGAUAUAAGUUGAUCUACAGAUUAAAAUAGAUGAGCGCAAGUUUAAUUAUGUAACAGCUGAGGAAAUUUGAUUUUGUUUAAUCCGUGGGGUACAGGAUUUUCCGUCAUGUGAUUUACUGCAUGCUGAGUAAUGUAAUUAUUUGUGUAUUAAAUUUUUUCUUUGUUUAGGAAGGAUGCUAUAGAAAUAUUUUUAAUAAAAGAAUAUAAAGACACAUUAAAUGGGAUCAAAUACUUACGUGUUGAUAUGUAUUUUUUAUGUCCUGAUGCAUGAUAAAGGAAAUUGGUGUAGGAUAGAGCAUUCUGCAAGGGUUGGUGGUCAAUUCUAAUCAUAUAACUUGUAUUAUAUUAAGAAUCUGAAAAUAAUUCUUUAUUUUAAGUUAUUGUACAUGUAGCAAUAGACAUUGGCUUAUUUGUCAAAGUGAAACAGAUCUGUUUCCUCAAUAAUGAAUCGGUUAUUGUGCUGUUGUCUUGAAGGUGUGUUGAGAGAAGUGAUUGGAAAUUGGAGAAAUUGCAGCUGUACUGACAUGGUGCUCCGUUUUUCCAUCAUAAAAAUACAGUUCAUGCACUAUAGGAGUAUAGUUGGUUCAGAAUUGGCAUAUCCCAGAGAAGCUACUUGCUAUGUAAAGAAAAUAUCUGCUAACAUAAUAAGAUAUAUUUAUAUAUUGGAUAGGUGAGAAACAUAAGAGCACUGAGUGAGGCCAGGAUUUACAGAAGCUGUAGAACAUAUUUCACCAGAUUUAUUUCAUUCAUAAUGAGAACAUCUUCAGUGAAUAGAUACUGUAAUUGAAUGUGAGAAAGUGAUAGUGACUUCUGUGAGUCCUUGCUUAUGUAAGUGCUUUUCCUCUCUUACUUGUGUGUUAAAUGUGGUAGGUCAGACUGGGAAAGGAAUUACAGAAAGUGCUGGAAGUUAGUAUUUUUGCAGAGGUCACAGGGAGUGAAUUUGCAGUUAGUGUACUAUUGUACUCACUGGAAAGCACUGUUCAGUCCCCUCUUGGGUACUGAGUCCUGUAUGAAUUGAAACACAUAUAUAUUUAUUAGUUGUACAGUUCCCCUUCUGCAAAUUUUUUGCAUCGAAUGUGCAUUUGCACAAGGUAGCAAAUAAUGAGCUGUGGUUAGUUUCUCGUAUGUCUCCUUUAUUAUGGCAUGCAGUACUACAGAAAUCUGUUCUAAUAAUGUGUCAAAUUUGAGUUGACUUGUACUUGGAAGUCAUGGUUUUCAAAACAGUACUUAUUAUUUAUACAGAGAAGUGUUGUUUUUCCUUAAGUCAUUAAAACUGUAUGAAAACAUGA